rnacentral:sRNA from 1 species
CGGCAGACUAAGGCCAGCGGUGAUGGCUUGAAUGCCAGGCUGGGGGCUGGGAUUUUUCCUGAGGAUUUCACAGGACAGAGGUUGGCUUGGAAAGACCAAGGCGGCGGCUGCGGGCGCAGAGCGGAGAUGCAGCGGCUUGGGGCCACCCUGCUGUGCCUGCUGCUGGCGGCGGCGGUCCCCACGGCCCCCGCGCCCGCUCCGACGGCGACCUCGGCUCCAGUCAAGCCCGGCCCGGCUCUCAGCUACCCGCAGGAGGAGGCCACCCUCAAUGAGAUGUUCCGCGAGGUUGAGGAACUGAUGGAGGACACGCAGCACAAAUUGCGCAGCGCGGUGAAAGAGAUGGAGGCAGAAGAAGCGGCUGCUAAAGCGUCAUCAGAAGUGAACCUGGCAAACUUACCUCCCAGCUAUCACAAUGAGACCAACACAGACACGAAGGUUGGAAAUAAUACCAUCCAUGUGCACCGAGAAAUUCACAAGGAGGAAUGUAAAUAUGAUAUACCCCAUUUCCAAAAGAGAAACCCUCUAUUGCUACAAAAUUAAACAUUCAUUUGCUGGUUGUGCGUUCAAAAUUCUAUAGCAGAUUUUUCCCCAAACUACCACCUGUCUGAGUGCCUCUUGGUCUAACAUCAUGCAUGAAGAACAACCAGGUUCAUUCCCAUUCUGACCUGAUGAAGAAAG